GGGGGUGUAAUGGUCUCGACGGGGUAGACUGGGGCAUGAAUAGCGAGCCGGGGGGUCAUCAACCCGUUAGUAAGGUGAAAACUUUUAUUAAAUAUAAAAGCUAACGAAGACUACGCUUUAGCCGCUUAAGGCUGACCCCUGUCUUUCUUUCUCCCACGGGGAGAGAUAAGGGGACAACAGUGGGAUACCUGAGGGCCAAUUCUCGGAGGCCUGACUGGGAACUCUUAUCGAGAUCGGUGUGACGGAGCCUGCCGAUGGGCGCCUGAACGCUUAAAGCAAAUCAUCUGGCUGCGCUCGGAGAAGUUCGUGUGACAUCUGCUUCGGACAGGAGUUCGAUUCUCCUCACCUCCACCA
rnacentral:tmRNA from 1 species